CAUUCGAGUGGCGGACGGGUGAGUAACGCGUGGGUAACCUGCCUUACACAGGGGGAUAACACCUGGGAACAGGUGCUAAUACCGCAUAAGCGCACAGGGCCGCAUGGCCCGGUGUGAAAAACUCCGGUGGUGUAAGAUGGACCCGCGUCUGAUUAGCUUGUUGGCGGGGUAGGGGCCCACCAAGGCGACGAUCAGUAGCCGGCCUGAGAGGGUGGACGGCCACAUUGGGACUGAGACACGGCCCAAACUCCUACGGAAGGCAGCAG
rnacentral:rRNA from 1 species